CCUUGAAAGUAGUUCCGGAAUAUGAGAGGUUCAGAGGUGCUCCCCAUUGAUAGGUGGACUGCGCACAGUCUGCACAGAAGGCGCUUGAGGAAUUCUGGGAGUGCUUGUGUUUUAUGGAUGAGGAAGGGGACACUCAGCCUUCCUAGACACCCUGAUCAACAGUAUGCCCUGAAGUGAACUGUGCAGAGAGGCAUUGCUUUGAGUGACAGAGAUAAACUUUGUGUCUGUUUCAGCUAACCUUCCUGUGCCCACCAUCGCUGCCAUAGAUGGCCUGGCCCUAGGAGGGGGCCUGGAGCUGGCUUUAGCGUGUGACAUUCGAGUAGCAGCUUCUUCUGCAAAAAUGGGCCUGGUGGAAACGAAGUUGGCGAUUAUCCCUGGUGGAGGAGGGACACAGAGAUUACCACGUGCCAUCGGGAUGGCCCUGGCAAAGGAGCUCAUCUUCUCUGCACGCGUUCUU
rnacentral:lncRNA from 1 species